UGGUGUGUGUGUGUGUGUGGUUUGUUUUUGUUUUCUUAUUGGAAAUUCAGACCAACUUGUUCUUAUCUGUUUAGAUAACUUUCUGAUACGUCAGCAUGUGUACCUAAAUUAAUUAAUCUUUCUCUUUGUUCACACUACAUUUUGCUCUUGGCAAAAGUGCUGAGCUGACUGUUGUCACAUGUUUUUAAUUUUUGAAAGGAAAAAAAAAUCCAUCUCUCUAAGAUAGACAUGGAAAGAGAAACCAACUGCAGAGAACUCACAGUAAGAGGAGAGCAGUUGAAGGCCUGCCAUGAAUACUUACCAAAAACCUAUGACACUAUUUGGCCUCCUCUCCUUAGCUGGGGAAUUCAGAUUAUUGUGUACCUAAUAGUGCUUUUGUAAACACUUCAGCAUUUAAAAAAUAUAUAUAUGUGCUGCUGGAAAAAGCCUGCCUGACUUAUAAACACAUAGUUACUAGAGACACUAGAACAUAUGCAGUGACUUUUAAAGGCAUAAAAUGUACUCGAACAAUGAGAAAGGGAGUAUUAGAGUGUUCCACGUAUAAAGUAAGCCAGCCCUUCCCCAAACCAGUCCAAACCAGUCCCCUCCAGAUCCUUGGGGCUCUCUCUGGUAAGGAGUAGGGCUCAGCCACAUCCUUGAUUCAUUGGCUUUCUCCUGCUCCCACAGUAAAGUUGAAAUUAUGUCUAAUUUGUCAAGGUAAUGUGUGUAUUUGAUUUGACUAUGAAUCCACUGUCCUGCUUUCAGCUAUCUUAGUGAACUUGGUGUCAAUGAAAAUGUUUUGGAUAUUUCAAGGCCGUUGUGAGUUUUUAGCCGUCGGCCUACCCCCCCACCCCCACCCCCAAGUUCAAAACUGCUAGAUGUUUUAGAUGUCUGUGUUUUCAUGGGUUGGACCUUAGAUUCUUAUAAAGGACAAGGGAAAUGGAGAGGAAAAGGCCAGGCAUGACAUAUUUUGCUGACUCUGAUACUGAGUGCUUGAAAUGUGAGAUUUUCAGGCAGAUGCAUCUUGCUGCCUAUAUCAGGUUAGUCUGUCUAACUGUUCCCUAUACAAAAGAGGCAGCAGCUAAAUCCAGGACUCAUUGCCUCAUCACACUCUGUCUCCAUGUCUUGGUUUGUUUUCUGUUGGUUUGUUUUCCUACUGCUGGAGAUUGAACCUGGGGCCUUUCCACGCUAGUCAAGUGUGCCACCACUGAGCUAUGCCUGCAGCUACAAGAUCUUUAAAACUACUGUCACCCUGGCUAUCAGCAAUGGCUCAUUUUCUCUGUCCCCCACCCCGACGACCCCUGAAAUCCAGCUCUGCUUCCCACCCCAGCCACUGCUUUAUCCACGAUCACAUCUUUAGCUCCGAUUUAGAGGAUGCUUACUGGUCCUCUCAUCGUCUCCCUCUUUGGCCUUUUAUUUCUUUCUUAACAUUAUUCGGUCCCCAUUCCUAUUUUUUCUCUGCUUUCACAGCUUCUUUGACACCCUACCUAAGUGCCUGUGGGAUGUCUGGCAGGGUCCUGGCAUGACGUUCGAGGCACAGGCUUCGGUCCCUUUGUGUGUACUCGUGUCUACCAGCUUUAAUUUUCUUUAGGAAAUGCCACCAACCAGUUGUGUGCAUCAUUCCCAUACCAUGCCCAGUUAGUGAAUUUUACCACAUCCAACACAGACAUAAAUCAUGAAGCCAUCCCAGUCUUGUCAGCCCUGUGGCCAACAGCUGUCAUCUACUUUUGCCCCACUUGCCUUGACCUUAUCAUUUGAUAGUCGUAUAUGUCCUUGUUGUCAUUAAAGGGACUAUUUGGAGAGCAAAGACACAAUUUGAAUGAUAAAUUUAUCACGUCUAAGCUGGAUUAAGCUGCAAUUCAAUAAAAGUGGGAAUAUCUUUGACAAUAUUAGAAAAUGGCAAUAAAAGAUGAAUAAUUUGAAAUUAUCUUAACAUUAGUUAACAUUGACUGCUAACUAAUAUUUCCUAUUGUACUGAAGACUUUGACACAUACAAAUUUUAGAUAGAAUUCCCAUCUAUAAAUUGAUUUCUGUUUUCCCGGAAGAGCAUUUGCAUACCUCUUCAUUAGUAUUUCUAGAUCUGACUAUCGUGGUUUUGUGGCAGUAUUAUAUUGCUGGAGCAGGACUCAGUAAGCCAGUGUCUGGUUGGUACACACUCAGGCUUGUUCCACUUUUUCAUCAUUGUAACCAAGCAUUUUUUUUUAUGUUUUUUGUUUUUGACUGUCUAUUUUCUGAGAAGAUUAUUGCGAGUAAAAUGGGCCCCUUGGAGGGAAAGGAUUGCCUAGAACUUUUAAACUAGUUUGCGCAGUAGUUAUGAUAGGGUUACUACCAGUUUAUGGCCCUGUCCUGACAGAAUAUGAAUUUGUCUUUGUUCUCCACAGUGAUCAUCGUUAUUGUACUUUUGGAUUGUUUUUAAACAGCUACACAGAUGAAUAAUGUCAGUCCAGUUGUUCUAAUUUUAGACAGAUUUCCAAAAUAUUGGGUUAUCCAGUUGCCAAACCCACAAUGGAUGAGAAGCAGGAAAUUGGAGGGAAAAAGAUGACUUGCUACAGUCAGAUCCAUUGGCAGUAGUGUGAGAUACGGGCAGACAGAGCAACAGUGGGCACAGACACAAGAACACCCAAAAGCCAGAAUCCCAAAAUGCACAGUGCAUGGUCCACUGAAUUGAUAUCCCAUCAGCCAUUCUCUGCUCUGAGGUCUAAGGCUUUCACUGUAUUUCAACGCAGUGCCCCAUCUCUGCAUUCUCAGUUCUACUGUGGUGGCACAACUUGGGCUAAUGACUUUUAAAGCUUUCAUUUUUGAUCAAAAAUAUCAUAAAUAAAUAUUGACUUCUUAACUGUUGUCUCAUUUUCUUAAGUGCUAGAAAAAAUAUUUAUGUGAUAGUACAAGAUACUUUCCAAGGAAUCUUCAAGGUCUGGGCAAAAUGGCUACUAGAAGACAUGGUGUCUUGCUUUCAAUGUUAAGGGACUAUAGUGUGUGAAGACAGAAUUAUAUUUUUCUCCUCUAGCUUGGAAAAUAAGUCGCAGGUGCAGAAACAGGUUUCUAAAAAGUAGUGCUUCCUAUUUCUGGCAAGAUUUUUCUCAUGAAAUGUUUUGCAAACUAUUAGGCCUCAAAGGAAUGUUGGUUAUCAAUAAAUAACAGCUCCUACAUUUUACAGAAAAGACAACCAGUGGGUUUUUUUUUCAAUGUAACAGGGUGACUUUAUAACGAGUUCUAUAGUGUGAGCAUGUCAGAGCAGAAUUGAGUGUCUGAUUGUCAGAGUUGCUGAACGAAGAAUGUUUUCAUUCU
rnacentral:lncRNA from 1 species